AUUGAACGCUGGCGGCAUGCCUUACACAUGCAAGUCGAACGGUAACAGGUCUUCGGAUGCUGACGAGUGGCGAACGGGAGAGUAAUACAUCGGAACGUGCCUAGUAGUGGGGGAUAACUACUCGGAUGAGUGGCUAAUACCGCAUGAGAUCUAAGGAGGAAAGGAGGGGAUCGCAAGACCAUGUGCUACUCGAGCUGGCGAUGGCAGAUCAGGUAGGUGGUGGGAUAAAAGCUUACCAAGCCGACGAUCUGUAGCUGUACUGAGAGGACAAUUAGCUAAACUGGGACUGAGACACGGCCCAGACUCCUACGGGAGGCAGCAGUGGGGAAUUUUGGACAAUGGGCGAAAGCCUGAUCCAGCAAUGCCGCGUGCAGGAUGAAGGCUUUCGGGUUGUAAACUGCUUUUGUACGGAACGAAAAGCCCCGGGUUAAUACCCUGGGGUCAUGACGGUACCGUAAGAAUAAGCACCGGCUAACUACGUGCCAGCCGCCGCCGUAA
rnacentral:rRNA from 1 species